CGUGAUUUGGAUAUUUCUACACCGUUAAACUUGCAAACGGCUCACUACGACCAUUGAAAUUUGUUGAUUUUGAGCCCAUUCGAUCACUAGGCAAAUGAUAUCGAAAAAUAGUAAAAUUUAUUUUCUAGGUACUCCAAAUACUCUAGAUCAAUUUUAACGGAGCCGAUCGACGAUUCGAAAGUCGCAACAUCGAAAACAAGCUGAAAGCACGGAAGGCUUCGUGCUUCCGAUAGCAUAGUAGCCUCACUCUAUAUAUAUAUAUAGAAUUAUGCUACUAUACUAUCAAUAGUAUCAAGCCCUUGAUACUAUUGAGUUUUUGGCAGUUGGAUGAAUAGAUGUGCGGUUACGUUGAUAGUGGUCCCCGGUUAAAUUGAUAGUGGUCUCCUAGGGUUGAGUGGGUGGUUAAUUUAAUAAUAUAAUCUAACGGGUGGAACUGAUCAAAGGGUAGAUCUAACGGUAG
rnacentral:lncRNA from 1 species